UACGAAGGGGGCUAGCGUUGUUCGGAAUUACUGGGCGUAAAGCGCGCGCAGGCGGUUCUUCAAGUCAGAGGUGAAAGCCCAGGGCUCAACCCUAGAAUGGCCUUUGAGACUAGAGAACUAGGGUACGGGAGAGGUGAGUGGAAUUCCGAGUGUAGAGGUGAAAUUCGUAGAUAUUCGGAAGAACACCAGUGGCGAAGGCGGCUCACUGGCCCGUUACCGACGCUCAGGCGCGACAGCGUGGGGAGCAAACAGG
rnacentral:rRNA from 1 species